rnacentral:lncRNA from 1 species
GUGAAGAGCACGCUGGCUGAGCUGGCGAGAGGGGUGGGGGCGUCCUGGCGCUGCUUCCGCACCCACUGUCACUGUCCCGGCCCUCGCUGAGUGUCCCCGGACCCGUGGGCCCGCGUCUAUGCCAGGCCUUGGGGAGUCCUCCAGCCUCGGAGCCUCUUCCCGUUCUCAGACCUCAGUGCGAGGAGGAAAUCGGGUGCCUAGUGGGGCACUACCUGUCUGGAAGUAUUUUACACGAAGUUUAAGCCUUGAGAUUUCCUGGAGCAGGACCUCUGAAGUCACCAUCACAAAUGGCAGGCCCACACAAGGACUGAUUUACUUCUGACUCACCCAUGGCCUUCAGGCUUAGAGUUGGGGCCUUGUCAGAUUCCUCUCUCUUACCAACUCUGGGCUUUGACUCUGUUGUCCCUAAUGCCAUGCUGAUAAAUAAUUAAUAACUGGCUCUUCAUAAAAAAAAAAACAGUUUUGAUCUGUAGCACCUGCCAAUUCCCAUGGUGUAAACACUCCUGCCAUGGCUGACUUCAAGUUACCAACACAACAUCACUGAGUGUGGGAUUGGAAAAAGAUGCCCAUGGCUGGCUCUUAAGAGUCCUCUGAGCCUUGCUGGUUCUCCCUCACCUGCCAUUGAGGGGGCCGAUGGGUGCAACAGUCAUUCCUGAGGCUGCAAAGUUCUUUAAAGCAGAAGCAGCUGACUCUUGCUUAUGUUUUGCAGUACUUGCUGGGCUCUCAACUCCUCCAAAGUUUUGGCCUGGUAGUGCAUUCUUUGCUUCCUGAUUUGCUCUUUUCUGCUUUAAAGAAGAUUGGAAAAAAAAAAUUUUUUUUGAGACAGGGUCUCACUCUGUCACCUAGG